rnacentral:piRNA from 1 species
UAAAACAAGUACUUCUAAGUACUAGACAGC